rnacentral:tRNA from 1 species
CGGGGUGUAGCUCAGCUUGGUAGAGCGCAUGCUUUGGGAGCAGGAAGUCGCAGGUUCGAAUCCUGUCAACCCGA